GUACAAAUAUGACAUAUUACACUAGUAGUUUACAUCUGACGAGCAUAUGUCAGAUGUAAAACGCUAUAUGGAGUAGCCUUUACAUCUGGUACUAAUAUCCACUGAAGGGAAAAAUAUAUAGACAUAACGUUUUACAUCUGGUUCUAAUAUCACCAGAAACAAAACUGAACGCGGUGGCAAUAUUGUAAUUAUGGGGAAAAUGAUCUAAAAUAAAUAUAUAUCUGACCAUAUUUAGAGUCAGAUGUAAGAUGUCAUGUUGAGUAAAAAAAAAAAAAAAUUGGACAAACUGUGUUAAGUGCUUAAGUGAGAAACGCGUACGAUUCAUAUACAUCUUCGCAAACAAACCCUCAAGAACAGUCAACAACACUCACGCGAUUUUCCCAAAUCCUCAAGAACAACAAACUCUCAAUUCCUCUCUCGAUUCGAAACUCUCUCAAUCACGACAAUCCCUCACUCUCACUCGUCCUCUCUCACUCGUUCUCUCAAUUUCGUCAUCUCUCUCGGUGGUUCGCGAACCCUAGGUCCCAAAUCGAAGGUGGGUGAAACAAAUUGAAGCUUCUCUCAAAUCGUUCUUUCUCCCUACAACUGAAAACACAAACAGGUACUGAUUCUAUUAUCAAUUUUUUAAUUUCUUUUUGUUUGGUUAAAGUUUGUAAUUUUUGGGGUUUUAUGUGCGUUUUUUGCACUGUGUUUCUGGGCUUGUGAAUAAGUAUUCUGGGUUUUAUGUGUGUUUUUUGCACUGUGAUUCUGGGGUUGUGAAUAUCUAUUUUGGGUUUUAUGUGCGUUUUUCACUGUGAUUCUGUGCGUUUUAUGUGUUGUCACCAUCUUUGUAAUACCUCCAUCUUUCACUUAUUAUUUUCAUCCUUUAGUCUCUUUUUAGUUUUGUUUCCUAUUGUAAGAUUAGGAUAUAUUCCCAUCGGGUACGAAAUCAAUACUUUAAUUGGUGUUACAAUGUUUUAACUUAAUUUCACAACAUAGGUAUGGAUCGUAGUUGGAUGAAAGCUAGUAGAUUAAGUGCCGAGUUUGAACAAGGAGUGAUUGAAUUUCUUCGAUUUGAUGAAAUCAAUCUUCCAAUUUGUCUUCAGGCCUUUCCACCAGACUCACCAUUAGCGGUUGACCUGUCAACUGCCAUUUUGGAGUUGGCAGAAAAUCGAGAUUUACAAAGAAUCCAUGACAAAUGGCUUUUGAGCAGUGCUUGUCGAUCACAAGGUGCAAAGCUUGAAGUGGAUAGACUCAAUCUCAGAUGCUAUAGUAUCGCUUUCUUGUACAUUGGUUGGGGACUAGAUGGCUCAGUUUGGAUUGUAUUAGAGUUGAAAGGGAGGAAUGAGGAUUGUGUACAUUUUGAGGUUUUAUAACCUGGUCAUUUUGAGGUUUUGUAGAAGGUAUACAUUACAUGGAUCUCGGAGGCUAUUUCGAUCAACCCUUUAUGAUCAUAUAGUUUUGAGGAAUGCAUUGUGCUUUCAUGAGAUAUCCAGCCUUCAUGGAGGAUAGAACAACAUGUUUUAGAGGUCUUGUUAAUAUUUUUUCCAUUUGGCAGCAACUUGUUGACAAAAGUUUAAUACAUGUAUGUUUUCACAAAUGAGAGGAAGAAUUGAACUAUUUUUCAAGCAGAACAAACUUAGUAAAAAAGCAUGUCAGGGAUAUACUUCAGGUCAAUAUCUUGUUAAAAUUGCAAUAAUAGGUUCUAGGAACAUGUGCUUUGGACUUGAUUUCUUGACAGCACAAGAUGUUGUGUUUUUGGAGCUACCUCAGUACUCAACUUUGAUGCUUCAAGUUCUGUUCAAUGGGAGCUACCUCGUCCACUUACUGCCUAUUAAAACUUUGUUGAUGUUUAAAUUUUUCUAGUGCUUUUAAAGUUCAUCAAUUGGCAACUUUUGGUAAUAAAAAGAAGGCUACAUGGAUUUUUCCCAAAGUAAGUGUUGUUCAAUUCCUUUUGGCAUGUCGUGAGUGUCUGAGUUCAGAAGACUUCAGCGAAAAAUCUGAGAGUAGCCCAACAGAUUCACAGAAGCUGGAUCCAAUUCAAGUAAAUUUUCACUAUCACAGAAGCUGGAUCCAAUGCUUCCUGAAGGUGUUCGAUGAUCCCAUGUCAUUAACCGAGGAGGAGCUGUAUGAAUUGCGAAACAGCUGGGCUACUUGUUUUCUUGACCUGUACAAUCCCGAGGUAGAUUAUGAUGUUGCCGAUGAUGAGGCUUAGGAGCUAGCUAGGUUAAUUUGUGUGAUGUUACAAUGGAUUCACAUUAAUUAGGAUGUUUUGAAUUGUAAUGACUUGUAUUUUGCUUGAAUGUCAUAACAUUUUAGA